GAUGGGAAUCAGAUGAAAGUAGUGACUAUCUGAUCAUAUCUCACAGGAUAUGAGGAGAAAUUUCCACAGAAACAUUUCCUCACAGUAGAGGAGAGUGGCCGUGUGAGCUGAACCAAGCUCAAGGAUGUUCUCUCCUCUCAGGAAACCAGCACUGACCAGGUCCGUGUUGAAGAGAGCUAUUCAGCAGAAUCACAGGUCAACCAUCUACAGCAAGCCACCAAAGGAAAAGAUUGGGCCAAUGGAGUCUAUUUUUGCCCUAUGUGUGUUUGCUGUGACUCUCCUGGCCCCAGCUGGAUGGAUCAUGCAUCACAUCCCCGACUACCGGCAGAGAUCGCCUCCACAGCCGUGACUUCAGCAAGAACUCUGCAUUCAGACAGACAUGCAUGCAUUGUUAUUGCCUGCAACUCUUUCCAAUGUGUAAAAUAUUAGAAAUGGAAGUGAGAAAUAAAACAUUUGUCAGAUUUGAAGCAUGAUAAAACUGUAUAAAGACA